GACGAACGCUGGCGGCGUGCUUAACACAUGCAAGUCGAGCGAUGAAGCACCUUCGGGUGUGGAUUAGCGGCGAACGGGUGAGGAACACGUGAGGAAUCUGCCUUCCACUCUGGGAUAACUCCGGGAAACCGGGGCUAAUACCGGAUAUUUUCAACUGGCGGCAUCGCCGGUUGAAGAAAGUUUUUCGGUGGAAGAUGACCUCGCGGCCUAUCAGCUUGUUGGUGAGGUAACGGCUCACCAAGGCGACGACGGGUAGCCGGCCUGAGAGGGUGACCGGCCACACUGGGACUGAGACACGGCCCAGACUCCUACGGGAGGCAGCAGUGGGGAAUAUUGGGCAAUGGAGGAAACUCUGACCCAGCGACGCCGCGUGAGGGAUGAAGGCCUUCGGGUUGUAAACCUCUUUCAGCAGGGAAUAAGCGAAAGUGAAGGUACCUGCAGAAGAAGCACCGGCUAACUAUGUGCCAGCAGCCGCAGUAA
rnacentral:rRNA from 1 species